rnacentral:rRNA from 1 species
UACGUAGGGUGCGAGCGUUAAUCGGAAUUACUGGGCGUAAAGCGUGCGCAGGCGGUUUUGUAAGCCAGAUGUGAAAGCCCCGGGCUUAACCUGGGAAUGGCAUUUGGGACUGCAAGGCUUGAGUGCGGCAGAGGAGACUGGAAUUCCUGGUGUAGCAGUGAAAUGCGUAGAUAUCAGGAGGAACACCUGUGGUGUAGACAGCUUACUGGACCACUUCUGACGCUGAGACACGAAAGCGUGGGUAGCAAACAGG